rnacentral:rRNA from 1 species
AUUGCCCUAGUAACGGCGAGUGAAGCGGCAACAGCUCAAAUUUGAAAUCUGGCCCCCGGGUCCGAGUUGUAAUUUGUAGAGGAUGCUUUUGGUGCGGUACCUUCCGAGUGCCCUGGAACGGGACGCCAUAGAGGGUGAGAGCCCCGUCUGGUUGGACGCCAAUCCUUUGUAAAGCUCCUUCAACGAGUCGAGUAGUUUGGGAAUGCUGCUCUAAAUGGGAGGUAUAUGUCUUCUAAAGCUAAAUAUUGGCCAGAGACCGAUAGCGCACAAGUAGAGUGAUCGAAAGAUGAAAAGCACUUUGAAAAGAGAGUUAAAAAGUACGUGAAAUUGUUGAAAGGGAAGCGCUCAUGACCAGACUUGGGCUUGGUUGAUCAUCCAGGGUUCUCCCUGGUGCACUCUUCCGGCCCAGGCCAGCAUCAGUUCGCUGUGGGGGAUAAAGGCUUCGGGAAUGUGGCUCCCUCGGGAGUGUUAUAGCCCGUCGUGUAAUACCCUGUGGCGGACUGAGGUUCGCGCAUUCGCAAGGAUGCUGGCGUAAUGGUCAUCAGCGACCCGUCUUGAAACACGGACCAAGGAGUCGUCUUCGUAUGCGAGUGUUCGGGUGUCAAACCCCUACGCGUAAUGAAAGUGAACGCAGGUGAGAGCUUCGGCGCAUCAUCGACCGAUCCUGAUGUUCUCGGAUGGAUUUGAGUAAGAGCAUACGGGGCCGGACCCGAAAGAAGGUGAACUAUGCCUGUAUAGGGUGAAGCCAGAGGAAACUCUGGUGGAGGCUCGCAGCGGUUCUGACGUGCAAAUCGAUCGUCAAAUAUGGGCAUGGGGGCGAAAGACUAAU